rnacentral:rRNA from 1 species
GACGAACGCUGGCGGCGUGCUUAACACAUGCAAGUCGAACGGAGUGGCGAACGGGUGAGUAACAAGUGGGUGACCUGCCCUGCACUUCGGGAUAAGCCUGGGCAACUGGGUCUAAUACCGGAUAGUGUGGGAGGGGCCCGCGUCCUAUCAGCUUGGGGGUGUGGUACUGACCGCCCAAGGCGUCGACGGGUAGCCGGCGUGAGAGGGUGGACGGCCACAUUGGGACUGAGACACGGCCCAGACUCGUACGGGAGGCAGCAGUGGGGAAUAUUGAACAAUGGGCGGAAGCCUGAUGCAGCGACGCCGCGUGGGGGAUGACGGCCUUCGGGUUGUAAACUCCUUUCACCAUCGACGCGGUAGAUGGAGAAGAAGCACCGGCUAACUACGUGCCAGCAGCCGCGGUAAUAC